rnacentral:tRNA from 1 species
UAUUUUAAUAGCUUAUUUUAAAGUGUAAUAUUGAAGAUAUUAAGAAGGUAAAAACCUUAAAAUAU